CAGCAGCCGCGGUAAUACGUAGGUGGCAAGCGUUGUCCGGAAUUAUUGGGCGUAAAGGGCUCGCAGGCGGUUUCUUAAGUCUGAUGUGAAAGCCCCCGGCUCAACCGGGGAGGGUCAUUGGGAACUGGGAAACUUGAGUGCAGAAGAGGAGAGUGGAAUUCCACGUGUAGCGGUGAAAUGCGUAGAGAUGUGGAGGAACACCAGUGGCGAAGGCGACUCUCUGGUCUGUAACUGACGCUGAGGAGCGAAAGCGUGGGGAGCGAACAGGAUUAGAUACCCGCGUAGUCCCUGUCUCUUAUAC
rnacentral:rRNA from 1 species